ACAAUUCACCAAAAAACCCUAGAUCUGCUCUUCAUCGUCACCACGUCGUCGCCACACCACACCAUCACCACCCCACUUCCAUAUUCUAAUGGGUUUUUAUACAAACAAUCAAAAGAGAACCGUGUAAUACGGUCAAAAUCACCAAAACAAAGCCAAUAUCAAAAAAUAUACAACAAAAUUAGAUUAAAAAUCCAUAACAAAUAAGUGGAAUGAAACAAAACUACCUUGAGUGCGUGUUUUGCAGCCCCCGUACAACUCUGAGAUUUCUAUCUGCAAUUAGAUUCCCGAUCUCCAAUUUUCAAAUUUCAAACCAGAAACAACGGAAACAAACACUACUCCAGAAAAUCAAAACC
rnacentral:lncRNA from 1 species